AAGUCGUAACAAGGUCUCCGUAGGUGAACCUGCGGAGGGAUCAUUAAGUUGAGCCAGCUGCCAAAGCAAACAGCGAGAGCUGGAUUGUUGUUUGGGAGCUAGUAUAACAUUUGUGUUUAGGGUUAAACUCAUAAUCCUAAUAUUUCAUACUUCACAAAGCCCUAAUAGGCUUGCUAACAAUCAAUCAAUAACUGAGGAACAAAACACAACACACCCCAUUGGAUACCUUGGUUCCCAC
rnacentral:misc_RNA from 1 species